CUAGUCUCAGUUCGGAUCGGAGUCUGCAACCCCGACUCCGUGAAGCUGGAUUCGCUAGUAAUCGCGCAUCAGCCAUGGCGCGGUGAAUACGUUCCCGGGCCUUGUACACACCGCCCGUCAAGCCAUGGGAGUCGGGAGUGCCUGAAGUUCGUGACCGUCACAGGAGCGACCUAAGGCAAGACCGAUGACUGGGGCUAAGUCGUAACAAGGUAUC
rnacentral:rRNA from 1 species